rnacentral:rRNA from 1 species
GACGUAGGGGGCCAGCGUUGUUCGGAAUUACUGGGUGUAAAGGGUUCGUAGGCGGUGUAGCAAGUCGGGAGUGAAAUCUCUGGGCUUAACCCAGAGGCUGCUUCCGAAACUGCUGUGCUUGAGUGUGGGAGAGGCGCGUGGAAUUGCAGGUGUAGCGGUGAAAUGCGUGGAUAUCUGCAGGAACACCCGUGGCGAAAGCGGCGCGCUGGACCACUACUGACGCUGAGGCGCGAAAGCUAGGGGAGCAAACAGG